rnacentral:rRNA from 1 species
UACGUAGGGGGCUAGCGUUGUCCGGAAUCAUUGGGCGUAAAGAGCGCGUAGGCGGCCCGAUAAGUCUGCUGUGAAAGUCCAGGGCUCAACCCUGGAAUGCCAGUGGAUACUGUCGGGCUAGAGUACGGAAGAGGCGAGUGGAAUUCCUGGUGUAGCGGUGGAAUGCGCAGAUAUCAGGAGGAACACCGGUGGCGAAGGCGGGUCUCUGGGCAUUCCCUGACGCUGAGGCGCGAAAGCGUGGGGAGCAAACGGG